GGUUAAGCGAACAAGCGUACACGGUGGAUGCCCUGGCAGUCAGAGGCGAUGAAGGACGUGCUAAUCUGCGAAAAGCGCCGGUAAGGUGAUAUGAACCGUUAUAACCGGCGAUGUCCGAAUGGGGAAACCCGGUGCACUUCGGUGCAUCAUCGUUAGCUGAAUACAUAGGCUAACGAGGCGAACCGGGGGAACUGAAACAUCUAAGUACCCCGAGGAAAAGAAAUCAACCGAGAUUCCCCCAGUAGCGGCGAGCGAACGGGGAACAGCCCAGAGCCUGAAUCAGCUUGUGUGUCAGUGGAACGGUCUGGAAAGGCCGGCGAUACAGGGUGACAGCCCCGUACACGAAGGCACACAGGCUGUGAGCUCGAUGAGUAGGGCGGGACACGUGAUAUCCUGUCUGAAGAUGGGGGGACCAUCCUCCAAGGCUAAAUACUCCUGACUGACCGAUAGUGAACCAGUACCGUGAGGGAAAGGCGAAAAGAACCCCGGCGAGGGGAGUGAAACAGAACCUGAAACCGUGUACGUACAAGCAGUGGGAGCCUUCGUAAGAGGGUGACUGCGUACCUUUUGUAUAAUGGGUCAGCGACUUAUAUUCUGUAGCAAGGUUAACCGUAUAGGGGAGCCGAAGGGAAACCGAGUCUUAAUUGGGCGUUAAGUUGCAGGGUAUAGACCCGAAACCCGGUGAUCUAGCCAUGGGCAGGUUGAAGGUUGGGUAACACUAACUGGAGGACCGAACCGACUAAUGUUGAAAAAUUAGCGGAUGACCUGUGGCUGGGGGUGAAAGGCCAAUCAAACCGGGAGAUAGCUGGUUCUCCCCGAAAGCUAUUUAGGUAGCGCCUCGUGAACUCAUCUCCGGGGGUAGAGCACUGUUUCGGCUAGGGGGCCAUCCCGGCUUACCAACCCGAUGCAAACUGCGAAUACCGGAGAAUGUUAUCACGGGAGACACACGGCGGGUGCUAACGUCCGUCGUGAAGAGGGAAACAACCCAGACCGCCAGCUAAGGUCCCAAAGUCAUGGUUAAGUGGGAAACGAUGUGGGAAGGCCCAGACAGCCAGGAUGUUGGCUUAGAAGCAGCCAUCAUUUAAAGAAAGCGUAAUAGCUCACUGGUCGAGUCGGCCUGCGCGGAAGAUGUAACGGGGCUAAACCAUGCACCGAAGCUGCGGCAGCGACGCUUAUGCGUUGUUGGGUAGGGGGAGCGUUCUGUAAGCCUGUGAAGGUGUGCUGUGAGGCAUGCUGGAGGUAUCAGAAGUGCGAAUGCUGACAUAAGUAACGAUAAAGCGGGUGAAAAGCCCGCUCGCCGGAAGACCAAGGGUUCCUGUCCAACGUUAAUCGGGGCAGGGUGAGUCGACCCCUAAGGCGAGGCCGAAAGGCGUAGUCGAUGGGAAACAGGUUAAUAUUCCUGUACUUGGUGUUACUGCGAAGGGGGGACGGAGAAGGCUAUGUCGGCCGGGCGACGGUUGUCCCGGUUUAAGCGUGUAGGCUGACUUUCCAGGCAAAUCCGGAAGGUUAAGGCUGAGGCGUGAUGACGAGGCACCACGGUGCUGAAGUGACAAAUGCCCUGCUUCCAGGAAAAGCCUCUAAGCAUCAGGUAACAUCAAAUCGUACCCCAAACCGACACAGGUGGUCAGGUAGAGAAUACCAAGGCGCUUGAGAGAACUCGGGUGAAGGAACUAGGCAAAAUGGUGCCGUAACUUCGGGAGAAGGCACGCUGACAUGUAGGUGAAGCCCCUGCGGGUGGAGCUGAAGUCAGUCGAAGAUACCAGCUGGCUGCAACUGUUUAUUAAAAACACAGCACUGUGCAAACACGAAAGUGGACGUAUACGGUGUGACGCCUGCCCGGUGCCGGAAGGUUAAUUGAUGGGGUUAUCGCAAGAGAAGCUCCUGAUCGAAGCCCCGGUAAACGGCGGCCGUAACUAUAACGGUCCUAAGGUAGCGAAAUUCCUUGUCGGGUAAGUUCCGACCUGCACGAAUGGCGUAAUGAUGGCCAGGCUGUCUCCACCCGAGACUCAGUGAAAUUGAACUCGCUGUGAAGAUGCAGUGUACCCGCGGCAAGACGGAAAGACCCCGUGAACCUUUACUACAGCUUGACACUGAACAUUGAGCCUUGAUGUGUAGGAUAGGUGGGAGGCUUUGAAGCGUGGACGCCAGUCUGCGUGGAGCCAACCUUGAAAUACCACCCUUUAAUGUUUGAUGUUCUAACCUGGCGCCCUGAUCGGGCGUGGGGACAGUGUCUGGUGGGUAGUUUGACUGGGGCGGUCUCCUCCCAAAGUGUAACGGAGGAGCACGAAGGUCAGCUAAUCCUGGUCGGACAUCAGGAGGUUAGUGCAAUGGCAUAAGCUGGCUUGACUGCGAGAGUGACGGCUCGAGCAGGUGCGAAAGCAGGUCAUAGUGAUCCGGUGGUUCUGUAUGGAAGGGCCAUCGCUCAACGGAUAAAAGGUACUCCGGGGAUAACAGGCUGAUACCGCCCAAGAGUUCAUAUCGACGGCGGUGUUUGGCACCUCGAUGUCGGCUCAUCACAUCCUGGGGCUGAAGUAGGUCCCAAGGGUAUGGCUGUUCGCCAUUUAAAGUGGUACGCGAGCUGGGUUUAGAACGUCGUGAGACAGUUCGGUCCCUAUCUGCCGUGGGCGCUGGAGAAUUGAGGGGGGCUGCUCCCAGUACGAGAGGACCGGAGUGGACGCAUCACUGGUGUUCGGGUUGUCAUGCCAAUGGCACUGCCCGGUAGCUAAAUGCGGAAGAGAUAAGUGCUGAAAGCAUCUAAGCACGAAACUUGCCCCGAGAUGAGUUCUCCCUGAGACUAUAAGUCUCCUGAAGGAACGUUGAAGACGACGACGUUGAUAGGCCGGGUGUGUAAGCGCAGCGAUGCGUUGAGCUAACCGGUACUAAUGAACCGUGAGGCUUAACCUU
rnacentral:rRNA from 1 species